UAUGUAAGGGAUAUAAGCCGAUAACAGUCCAUUCUGUAAAAUAUUGGACAGGUCUGAGGCCGCAGGCCGAAGACCUGUUUAAUAUUUUACAGAAUGGACUGUUGGAGGCUUAUAUCUUACUUAAAACAUUGUUUAACACGUCGAUAAAAGUUAAAAUAAAAGAAAAGCCAGCAAAGAUUUAUUUGCAUCAGGUAUGAAAAUUGUUUUGUCAAUAAACUUUCUUUACAUUAAAAUAUAUCCUACAUGUAGGCCCC
rnacentral:lncRNA from 1 species